UUGCAGCCAUAUAGCGUUGAAACACCGGUUCCCGUAUGAUUACCGAAGUUAAGCAAUGCCGAGCCUGGUCAGUACCUAAAUGGGUGGCCACUUUGGAAUACCAGGU